rnacentral:rRNA from 1 species
ACUAACAAAUUCCGUUUCAACUGAUUCUUCACGAAGAGAGGUGAGCUAAGUAGAUAUCCUUUUAGAGUGUUAUAUUACGUUGUAUAGUAAUAGAUAAAUAUUUACUUAGUGGUGAUAGGCCUUCCAUCCUUCUGGAUAACUUGUUGCGUAAAAAAAAUAUUAAGUAUUAAGGCAGACUAAUAAAGUUAAGCUUGUUAGUUAAUAUUAAUGUUAAAGAGCCUAUGGAGGUAUAGUGUAGUAGCUAGCUUAUAUAGUAAUUAAAUAUUAAGUUUAUGGUGUUAUAUGUAUUAUUAUGUUACCAUAAUUAAUUUCUGGGGAGACAAUGUUAGUAUAAGUAAUUUAAGUAAGCUUUCCUAAGGAACUCGGCAAUAUAAUACCCAACUGUUUACCAAAAACAUAACUGUAUGAAAUAUUAUACAGCUUUUUCUGCUCCAUGAGACGUUAAAUAGCCGCAGUACCCUGACUGUGCAAAGGUAGCAUAAUCAAUUGGCUUCUAAUUAAAGUCUGGCAUGAAUGAACGCAUGGGUAAUGACUGUCUUAGGAAUGUUGAUAUGAAAUUAUUAAGUUAGUGCAAAUGCUAAUGGAAAUAAAAAAGACGAGAAGACCCUAGAAACUUAAACUACUUUUGCUGGGGCGGCAGAAUUGCAUAUAACCAAUUUUACUUUACAUGAAGCAGCGGUGCUGGAAGAAAAAGUUACUCUAGGGAUAACAGCAUAAUUUAAAUAGUUUGUGACCUCGAUGUUGGACUAGGGAAAUUACGCCUUAGAAGGGCGUAAUAAUAGCUCUGUUCGAGCUUUUAGCCCCUACAUGAUCUGAGUUCAGACCGG